AAAGAAAUAAGCACCCUGGGGACCAUUCUAGAGGCCACUGGAUGGGAAUUAAUGUGGUGGACUCCGCAGUAUCCGGAUUAGGUGGCUGCCCUUAUGCAAAAGGUGCUUCUGGGAAUGUAGCCACUGAGGAUUUGAUAUAUAUGCUUAAUGGCCUGGGGCUCAAUACAGGUGUGAAUCUAUACAAAGUGAUGGAAGCUGGUGACUUUAUUUGCAAAGCUGUGAAUAAAACCACAAACUCUAAAGUAGCACAAGCCUCCUUCAAUGCUUGACUUGAAUGGAUUUAUGACGUACCGUUGAGAAGAUCAAUUUCAGCUACAAUACUCAUCUGAAAAUCAUUAAUGCCAACUUGCUCUGAUAUGUGAAGUAAUGGACAAGAGUGGGAAAAAAGAGAUCCUUUUCAAAAAGAUUAUAACUGGAUAGAUUAAGUCAACAAAAUGCAAUAUCAGUCAUCAGGUAAAUUGCAAGCUGAGGAUAAAUAAUAAAACUUGUCAUAAUUUUGAACUUGGAAAAAA
rnacentral:lncRNA from 1 species